rnacentral:ncRNA from 1 species
CGGUAGCUGGUUCGACCGGCCUGCUCGGAGGGCAACCCAGCCAACUCUGUCCGCUCAGGACAACAACCAACCCCGCGGG